rnacentral:rRNA from 1 species
GAUGAACGCUGGCGGCGUGCCUAAUACAUGCAAGUCGAGCGAACAGACGAGGAGCUUGCUCCUCUGACGUUAGCGGCGGACGGGUGAGUAACACGUGGAUAACCUACCUAUAAGACUGGGAUAACUUCGGGAAACCGGAGCUAAUACCGGAUAAUACAUUGAACCGCAUGGUUCAAUAGUGAAAGACGGUUUUGCUGUCACUUAUAGAUGGAUCCGCGCCGCAUUAGCUAGUUGGUAAGGUAACGGCUUACCAAGGCAACGAUGCGUAGCCGACCUGAGAGGGUGAUCGGCCACACUGGAACUGAGACACGGUCCAGACUCCUACGGGAGGCAGCAGUAGGGAAUCUUCCGCAAUGGGCGAAAGCCUGACGGAGCAACGCCGCGUGAGUGAUGAAGGUCUUCGGAUCGUAAAGCUCUGUUAUUAGGGAAGAACAAAUGUGUAAGUAACUAUGCACGUCUUGACGGUACCUAAUCAGAAAGCCACGGCUAACUACGUG